rnacentral:rRNA from 1 species
GACGAACGCUGGCGGCGUGCUUAACACAUGCAAGUCGAGCGGUAAGGCCCUUCGGGUACGACGAGCGGCGAACGGGUGAGUAACACGUGGGUGACCUGCCCUCCACUUCGGGAGUAAGCCCGGGAAACGUGGGUCUAAUACCGGUUAGGACCUCCUCAUGCAUGUGGGGUGGUGGAAAGCUUGUGUCUUUGAUGCUUGCGGUGGGGAGU